rnacentral:rRNA from 1 species
GACGUAGGUCUCAAGCGUUGUUCGGAUUCAUUGGGCGUAAAGGGUGCGUAGGCGGCGCGGUAAGUCGGGUGUGAAAUCUUGGAGCUUAACUCCGAAACUGCAUUCGAUACUGCCGUGCUUGAGGACUGGAGAGGAGACUGGAAUUUACGGUGUAGCGGUGAAAUGCGUAGAUAUCGUAAGGAAGACCAGUGGCGAAGGCGGGUCUCUGGACAGUUCCUGACGCUGAGGCACGAAGGUCAGGGGAGCAAACGGG